UCUUGGUGAAUAGAUAAGUUUUAGGGGCUUCCCUGGUGGCUCAGACAGUAAAGAAUCCGCCUGCAAUUCGGAAGCCCUGGGUUUGAUCCCUGGGUUGGGAAGAUCCCCUGGAGGAGGGCAUGGCAACCCACUUCAGUAUUCUUGCCUGGAAGAUCCCCAUGGACAGAGGAGCCUGGAGGGCUACAGUCCAUGGAGUCGCAAAGAGUCAGACAUGACUGAGUGACUACGCACAGCACAUUUAAGUUUUAGACAAAACAAAGUAUAGAAACUGCUCUAGGACAAAUUAUAAUCCUUUUCUCUUUCUUUUUGUUUUAGAUUUUCUUAUAUGUGGACCAUUUUUAAAGUCUUUAUUGAGUUUGUUACAAUAUUGUUUCUGCUCUAUGCUUUGGUUUUUUGGCCACGAGGCAUGUGGGACCUCAUCUCCCUGACCAGGUAUCAAACCCACACCCUUGCAAUGGAAGGCAAAAUCUUAACCACUGGAACGCCAGAAAAGUCCUCUUUUCCCCUUUCUUAGUGCUUCUUAAUCUUCUGUGGUUACAAUCCCUUAGAAAAUUUGAUGAGAAUUGUAAACUCUCUCUGUUUGCAUGAGAUGAAAAAUUUCACACGCAAUUUCAUGGAGUUUGCAGGAACUCUGAAGCCCACCCAUAGAUCAUCUGAAUAAGGAUUCCUAAUUUGAGAAAAUGGACAAAGAGUUCGUGGAAAGGCUGCUGCUCACUUCCUGUAUAGCUUUGGGUUUCCCAAUGAUCUUUCUAAAGUACUCUAUUGAAGGUAUAUCUUUACUUUUUCUCCAAUUCCUUUUAAAUAUUUUCAUUUUAGCUUUCAUGUUAUAUAUAUAUAUUUUGAGGUUGUAUUUUCUUGAAAUUAUUGUAUAAGACUGCUGGAUUGAACCCACAUCUACUGUGUCUCCUACA
rnacentral:lncRNA from 1 species